UACGUCAAAUCAUCUGAGAGGAGAGCAACAACAUAGGUGAAAACGUGGAGCAGUGUUUUGCCUGAAGUGAUGAAGCCAGAUGCCAACGCAGUGGAAUCUGAACCCGGCAGAGUACAGCCAGCGCGUGCUGUGGUCGUGGAGCGGAUAAAUGCCAUCGCAUGAAGCGCUACACCCCCACGAAGAGAAAUCCAUGUCUUUCUUGGACUGCUCCUGCAUCUCCCCCACUCAGGUCCAGCCAAUCAGCAUAGAGGACCAGUAUGAGGACGUCAGCCACCAAUACCUGAGCUCCGACGUCUCAGAAUGCACUUUCGCCUGGGGUGGUGCAGGCAGCGAUGACAUCACAGCGCUCUCUGCUAACUCCGCCCACUACCAGCUGCUGUCAGAGCUGGGGAAAGGCUUCAACAACCUGAGCCAGGUGCGCAUGGCGCGCCACACCCCCUCCCGCCAGCUGGUGGCAGUCAAGAACACCAACCUGGAUGAGUGUACUGAGGAUGAGCUGCUACAGUUGAUGAACGAGGUUCUUCUCUCCAGGCUUUUCCGCCACCCCAACCUGCUGACCUCUCGCCUGGUCUUCAGCUCCUGCUGCCAGCUCUGGGUCCUCACACCACUCAUGGGCUACGGUUCGGCAGAUAGCCUGCUGAGGACCUUCUUCCCUGACGGGAUGAGUGAGUCCCUGAUCGCUUACCUCCUCCACGGAGUCCUGAAGGCUCUGCAAUACCUGCACCUCAUGGGCUACGUGCACAGGGGAGUGAAGGCCAGUCACAUCCUGCUGUCUGGGGAGGGCCGUGUCUACCUCUCGGGGCUUCACAGUGUUUACAGUAUGAUGCGGGAUGGGAAGAAGGUGAGGACCGUGUACGACAUGCCCCACCACAGCCCCGCCCUGCUACCCUGGCUCAGCCCAGAGCUGCUACGACAGGACCUGCAUGGCUAUGGGGUGAAGUCAGACAUCUACAGUCUGGGGAUAGUAGUCUGUGAGCUGGUCAGUGGCAGGGUGCCUUUCCAGGACAUGCCCCCUACACAGAUGCUGCUCCAGAAGCUGCGUGGGUCCCACUGCUGCCUGCUGGACGUGGCCCCCUCCCCCAUAGGGGAGCUGAGGGGGCUGAAGGUGUCCCGCUCCGGGGUGGACUCUGGCAUCGGGGAGAGUGUUGCCACGGGCAGCCUGACCCGCACCGCCACCGCCGAGAGACGUUAUACACAGGAGCAGCAGACGUUAUACACAGGAGCAGCAGACGUUAUACACAGGGGCAGCAGACGUUAUACACAGGAGCAGCAGACGUUAUACACAGGAGCAGCAGACGUUAUACAGGAGCAGCAGACGUUAUACACAGGGGUAGCAGACGUUAUACACAGGAGCAGCAGACGUUAUACAGGAGCAGCAGACGUUAUACACAGGAGCAGCAGACGUUAUACACAGGGGCAGCAGACGUUAUACAGGGGCAGCAGACGUUAAACACAGGGGCAGCAGACGUUAUACACAGGAGCAGCAGACGUUAUACACAGGAGCAGCAGACGUUAUACACAGGAGCAGCAGACGUUAUACACAGGGGCAGCAGACGUUAUACAGGGGCAGCAGACGUUAUACAGGGGCAGCAGACGUUAUACACAGGAGCAGCAGACGUUAUACACAGGGGCAGCAGACGUUAUACAGGGGCAGCAGACGUUAUACACAGGAGCAGCAGACGUUAUACAGGGGCAGCAGACGUUAUACAGGGGCAGCAGACGUUAUACACAGGAGCAGCAGACGUUAUACACAGGAGCAGCAGACGUUAUACAGGGGCAGCAGACGUUAUACACAGGAGCAGCAGACGUUCUACACAGGAGCAGCAGACGUUAUACACAGGAGCAGCAGACGUUAUACACAGGAGCAGCAGACGUUAUACACAGGGGCAGCAGACGUUAUACACAGGAGCAGCAGACGUUAUACAGGGGCAGCAGACGUUAUACACAGGAGCAGCAGACGUUACACACAGGAGCAGCAGACGUUAUACACAGGGGCAGCAGACGUUAUACAGGGGCAGCAGACGUUAUACAGGGGCAGCAGACGUUAUACACAGGAGCAGCAGACGUUAUACACAGGGGCAGCAGACGUUAUACACAGGAGCAGCAGACGUUAUACACAGGGGCAGCAGACGUUAUACACAGGAGCAGCAGACGUUAUACACAGGAGCAGCAGACGUUAUACAGGGGCAGCAGACGUUAUACACAGGGGCAGCAGACGUUCUACAGGGGCAGCAGACGUUCUACAGGAGCAGCAGACGUUAUACACAGGGGCAGCAGACGUUAUACACAGGAGCAGCAGACGUUAUACACAGGAGCAGCAGACGUUAUACAGGAGCAGCAGACGUGAUACACAGGGGUAGCAGACGUUAUACAGGGGCAGCAGACGUUAUACACAGGGGCAGCAGACGUUAUACACAGGGGCAGCAGACGUUAUACACAGGGGCAGCAGACGUUAUACACAGGAGCAGCAGACGUUAUACACAGGAGCAGCAGACGUUAUACAGGGGCAGCAGACGUUAUACAGGGGCAGCAGACGUUAUACACAGGAGCAGCAGACGUUAUACACAGGAGCAGCAGACGUUAUACACAGGGGCAGCAGACGUUAUACACAGGAGCAGCAGACGUUAUACACAGGGGCAGCAGACGUUAUACACAGGAGCAGCAGACGUUCUACACAGGGGCAGCAGACGUUAUACACAGGAGCAGCAGACGUUCUACACAGGAGCAGCAGACGUUCUACACAGGAGCAGCAGACGUUAUACACAGGGGCAGCAGACGUUCUACAGGGGCUCUGGUACCUCCGUUUGAAGUCGGUUCUUUCAUUCAAGGAACAAUUUUAAAUGUUCUUGUGUUCUGUCUGAAUUUCUGUCAUUUUUGAAAGGUGUGUAAUAUGUGAGAUUCCCAGUGCUGCUAGAUAUGACAGUGUUGUGGGACAUUAAGGCACGGUGUGACUGCUAGAUAUGACAGUGUUGUGGGACAUUAAGGCACGGUGUGACUGCUAGAUAUGACAGUGUUGUGGGACAUUAAGGCACGGUGUGACUGCUAGAUAUGACAGUGUUGUGGGACAUUAAGGCACGGUGUGACUGCUAGAUAUGACAGUGUUGUGGGACAUUAAGGCAUGGUGUGACUGCUAGAUAUGACAGUGUUGUGGGAUAUUAAGGCACGGUGUGACUGCUAGAUAUGACAGUGUUGUGGGACAUUAAGGCAUGGUGUGACUGCUAGAUAUGACAGUGUUGUGGGACAUUAAGGCACGGUGUGACUGCUAGAUAUGACUGUGUUGUGGGACAUUAAGGCAUGGUGUGACUGCUAGAUAUGACAGUGUUGUGGGACAUUAAGGCAUGGUGUGACUGCUAGAUAUGACAGUGUUGUGGGACAUUAAGGCAUGGUGUGACUGCUAGAUAUGACAGUGUUGUGGGACAUUAAGGCACGGUGUGACUGCUAGAUAUGACAGUGUUGUGGGACAUUAAGGCACGGUGUGACUGCUAGAUAUGACAGUGUUGUGGGACAUUAAGGCACGGUGUGACUGCUAGAUAUGACAGUGUUGUGGGACAUUAAGGCACGGUGUGACUGCUAGAUAUGACAGUGUUGUGGGACAUUAAGGCAUGGUGUGACUGCUAGAUAUGACAGUGUUGUGGGACAUUAAGGCAUGGUGUGACUGCUAGAUAUGACAGUGUUGUGGGACAUUAAGGCAUGGUGUGACUGCUAGAUAUGACAGUGUUGUGGGAUAUUAAGGCACGGUAUGACUGCUAGAUAUGACAGUGUUGUGGGACAUUAAGGCAUGGUGUGACUUUGUCCUGUUUUGGUGUUCCAUAGACCCUCUGCUUCUACACUGUUGACCCAUGCCUUCUUCAAACAGGUGAAAAGGCAUCAUACCCGGGACUCCUUCCUCAGUCUCAUGUACCCCGCGGUGCCCCUUGGAGUUUCCAGCCCCGAUGACCCCCAUGUGUCCUGCUCCCCUACCCC